rnacentral:rRNA from 1 species
UACCCUAUUAUAGUAAAUAUUAAUUUUAUUCCGAGUUAGUAUUAGUUAGUUCUUGAAAUCUAAAUAAUUUGGCGGUAUUUUAUUCUUUUCAGAGGAACCUGUUCUUUAAUUGAUAAUCCACGAUUAUAUCUACUUGAUCUUGUAUUUACAGUUUUUAUAUUUCCGUCAUAAGGAUCUUUUUAUAGAAUAAAUUUUCUUGAUUAUUUAAAAAUGAAGAUGUCAGGUCAAGAUGAAAUUAAUGUUUAAGUAGUAAUGGGUUACAAUAAAUUUAUUUAUAUGGAUAUUUAGUUUUAUGAUUAUUUUGAAGGUGGAUUUGAGAGUAAGUGAAUUUAUUAAAUUUAUUGAUUAUUAGCUCUAAAUUAUGUACACAUCGCC